GAAACAGACUUUUCAGACUCCGACAAAUCCAUAACAGUUGCUCUCUAUGAUUCUGCUCCUUUCAAAUAGAAAUACGAGUGACCAACAAUAACAAAUAAUGAAGGAGCUGGUGCUUAAGACGAAGUAACUCCAAGAUCUCAUCUAACACCCACGAACCAAAGCAACAACAAACCCGAUAACACAUCUUAUACUUCGAACAAUUAAGACGCACUUAGUUUGAAACCAAUCGUCCGUUGUUCAGCAUCAGCAAUAAAUCAAAAGGAAAGAAACGAGAUAUUUGAAAAGGGAAUUUUACCUAUUUCGGGGCAGCGAGCUGAACAAGAACGAGCAGGGGACAACUUCGCCACCAGAAUACGACUCCGACAACUCCGACAAGCAGAGCAAAAGCAAGCGAGAACAAGGAACUAAGCAAAAAAUCAAUUCCCCCUCUACCACGAAGCCUAUUUUCUAAGUAUGUAUAUAGUUGUAUACGACUGAUAAUAUUGCUGGCCCUUUUUUUAAAACUUUUCCCGAUUUUUCUUCCAAUUUUUUUUUCAAUAUUUUCUCUAACUCAAAAAUUUCGGCCCCCUUCUCACAGUGGAGAAGAUGAAGUAUUUAUAGGGGAGAAAUUAGGGUUACAAAUGGGGGGGAAGGGAUCCAAAAUCGGAUGAAACAAGGCCCAUUUCCAAUUCAAAUUUGAAAAUCUUUCACCAUUUUUGGGGGAGACACCCUUUCUUGCAAAAAUUGCCCCCAUUCCGAAAGAGGAAAGGGGUAGGACGCGUGCCUCUGCCUGCUGUACGAUUUCACUGGUUGGAGAGGGACGUGAGAGGAAGA
rnacentral:lncRNA from 1 species